CGGCUGAGUAACACGUAGGAACGUACCCCAAACUGAGGCAUAAGCACCAGAAAUGGUGUCUAAUACCGCAUGUGCUCUUCGGAGUAAAGCUACGGCGGUUUGGGAACGGCCUGCGCAUGAUUAGCUUGUUGGUGAGGUAAUAGCUCACCAAGGCGACGAUCAUUAGCUGGUCUGAGAGGAUGAUCAGCCAGACUGGGACUGAGAACGGCCCAG
rnacentral:rRNA from 1 species